rnacentral:lncRNA from 1 species
CGCUGUCCUGAUGGUGGCACGAUGAGGGCCGUAUUACAUUAGCAUUGAUUAAUUGACUGGAUAUGGCCACAGAGGUGUGAGCAUGCAUUGGUAAUGCUGAGAAAGGGAUGGGGGGAAUGUAUGUCAGUGUGGCACAGGCAGUAAGAGGAUUAUGGGAUGGCAGCCGAAGCAUGGAGUGGAGAGGAAGAUUGAAAGUGUGCUGUGCAUGAGUCAGUGAGAGUUGUACAACAUCUCUCCCCAUGCAGCGGUCUGUUUACAUGGCACUGAGGGAGGGUGUGUGUGUGUAUGCAGAAGGAGAGAGAUGGUAAAAUGGUUUUGGUUUCUCAAAAACUGCAAGAGUGAACUUAAAAAAAAUAUCUUAGGUUUUUUGUUUUGUUUUGUUAAUAGUGUUGUUUUGGACCCCACUGACUGAUAUGGACAAAAACAUAUGAAAAAAAUAUAUUUUUUUGUGUUCUGCAGAAGAAAGAAACAUCAGCUUGGCCCAACUGAAAGACAAUCUGACAACCAGACUGGUUUAAGUGGCUUUUUGCAGCAGGGAAAAGAACAAUUUAACAAAAUAUUAAAUUCCAGCAACCCCUGGGAGUUUGGACCCUGGCACAGGCUCAUGGAGAUGCUGGUUGAGGGGGCUUGGCAGAACAGCAAGGUCAGCAGAUCUGUCGUGCCGCAGUGGCUCGGAGGACUCAGCCCAUUCCCACCUCUGGCCAGUAAUCCGCCCCAGCAUCCGCCACAGUCCAACCAGACACAUCCGCAGCUGUGCCAAACUAUUCUAACAUAUCCAGCAAGUGAGAAAUGCAAUGCAUUCAGUUUUAAUGCAUUCAGUUUUAAUGCAUUAAGUUCCUCUUUUAAGGAAUGAAAGCAAAAUAAAAUAUAGCAAAGAUGUUUUAUUGAUGUCUUCCCUUGGUCUUUUGAAUAGCAUUCCUAUCGACUGUGUAUAUCACUAGGUAAUGUUUGUUGAGCUUCAAUGAUAAUUUAGUUAGAUCAAAAAACUGUGAAUAACUUUACUUUUGACUAAAUUCCCAUCUGUGGAUUUCUUUAUAGAGCUGUUCUGAAGGAGCUGUUCUUUUGCCAUCAUUUACUGAUAUUCUUGCAAGUUUCUAACUUUCAAACCAGACUUUAGAUAUUGCACAGAACAGAUUGAAGCAGCAAGGUCAGUUGAGGUAAAUGUGUUGACUUCAGAGUGCACAACCCCCCCACCCCACCCCAAAAAAUAAAAUAAAUAAAUGCAUCAAGGAGGUUAAUAUGUACUGGAUUCCAUAGUUUUCUUAAAAGAAAAGGCAUUUUCUUUAUUAACAUUGUGAUUAAAAUUUAAAUGUUUCAUUGAUGCUUACUUGUUCACGCCCCUUGUACAUAUACACCAAAAUGUACAGUUCACCCAAAAAAGAAAAUUCUGUCAUCAUUUACCUCAUCCUUAGUCUUCUGCUGAACACAGAAGAUAAUUUGGAGAAUGAUGGUAACCAAACAGUUUCUUCAAAAACUAUGGAACUCAGUGGGGGCCAGCAACUGUUUGGUUACCCACAUUCUUCAGAUAUCCUAUUUAAUGUUAAACAGAAGGAGACAAAAUUCCAUAAAAAAGGCACACAAUGACAUUGCUGAAGAUCACAUGAAAGACAUAUGAAGAAUACAAUGGAAUUAAAUUAUGUUAUUGAGAAAUUUGACCCCCUUUACGGAUUGUGGGAUUAACUUUAUUAAAUUAAUUUAAUGGAAUUAAACAUACUUAAUCUAAUUAUUUAAUGCAUUAUCUUUGGCAGCCCUAUUUUAAAGUCAAAUCAAUAAAAUACACAGAUGUAUACAGACAAGCAGCUGAAAUGAAAACAGAAAAUAUACUGCAUAUAAGCUUUCCACAUGCUAUUCUCUAUUGUCUUUUUCCCCAUAUAUUACUUUUCUACUUAAUUCCGUCUCCUUAAAUAAAUAGAAUCUAUUCCCUUAUCUGGGCACAAGGUUGUCUGCCAUGCAUGGCAUGGUGGUCUCUGUUGAAAACCUCAUUCUGUUGUAGAGUUCUUUUGGGAAUAUUGUUUUUUCUUUUGUUUUUUGUUUUUUAGGAAAGAGGGCACAGAAGCAUUUCUCUUGUCCCCUUUGUCUUGUCUGGAAGGUUUGCAGAUAAAUAGAUGGAAGGAAGUAACAAAAAUAAUAGUUGACUUCUCUUUGAUUGAGUUCAUAUGUGGCAUAUUUACACUGAGGUAAGACCUGAAUGAGACGGAUGUUAAAAUGGGCGAAUGCUGAGUCACGCUGACAGACUCUGGCAGCCAUGAUCUCCUCAUUGAUUAUCUGUACAGCAUGCUGUGGCAGGAGGCCAGAAAGACCAGCAAACAGAAGGACACAGGAAGGAAGAGAGAGCGUUUUAUCUCAUUUACUGGAAGCAGGAUGGCUCUCUGUGAAGACACCAAUAUCAGUCGGGUUUACCUACCACUCAUAUCUCAUAAAAUGCAAAUGCCGUUCCUCUGAGCCGUGAACCUUAAUUAGAGCAGAAUUACGCAAAUGAAAUAUUGUUUUAUGUAUUACGCCGUGAAAUUGGGUUUAAUUAUGUCAUCAGUGCUGAAGCUCGCUAUGCAUUGUCCACAUAUGCAUAUAAAUGAUUGGGGAUAUUGGUUUGACAGCUGUCCACUCCCUUUGCAAGCGGGCAGAAGUCUUUGAAGAGGUCUCUGAUCUUACUCAGCUCCUCAGAAUAUGGAAUAAUCCUGCAUUGUCUGCAAGGUCCCAGUCUGCAUCUUUAGUAUGUUGCAUGUCAUAAACAUAGGGUGGGCUACAGCUUCACACUUCGUUUCAAAACACAUGGUGGGGGGUGGGGGGUGUUGGGUCGAUUAAACACAAACGCAUACACGCUGUGUGCUGAAUUGUUUUUUUCUCUGGACGAUCCUAGUUCAUGCUCUCCUCUACCCCAGGCGAGUAGAUGUGAUUGGAUAUCCUUAAUCAUGCUUGCCUCUAAAUUGGUUUUGGAGAAAGCGAUAACUUCUAAGUAUGCAGUAGAGCUUCACACUUCGUUUCAAAACACAUGGUGGGGGGUGGGGGGUGUUGGGUCGAUUAAACACAAACGCAUACACGCUGUGUGCUGAAUUGUUUUUUCUCUGGACGAUCCUAGUUCAUGCUCUCCUCUACCCCAGGCGAGUAGAUGUGAUUGGAUAUCCUUAAUCAUGCUGCCUCUAAAUUGGUUUUGGAGAAAGCGAUAACUUCUAAGUAUGCAGUAGCCCCACUGGGUUGCAAAGAUAUGCAGCAUUGGCAUACCCAUCUAUUUUUUUUUAACAAUUGUUAUUUUAUUGGAGUUUCUUGCAUUAAAUUAACUACAGGAUAAAUUACACAGGAGAACCAGGAAGUGAAAUGAACAGGAAAUGAUUCAAACAUCAGAGCAUGUCUGCUGCCCACCUGGAUACUAAAAUUAAUCUAGUACUUUAAGGGUUUUUUUUUUUUUUGUCUAGGGAAUUUGUGGGUUGCGUGAUGUUAUUUCUGGUAUUCAUGCAAAUGUGAUUAUAAUCAAGGAAAAUCUCAGUCAUCAACACUGUACAUACUAAAUGUAUGAACUUCACUGGUGAUGAGAAUAUACAUAAAGCAAUUUUGAAUAUUAAAAAGAGAUACUAUGGUAAUAUGACAUGCAUGUAAAUGUGUAGCUAACAUGUAGCUAAAUUCAUUAUCUGAAAAUUCAUAAUACACUUCAAAACUAAAAACUACAGCCUUGCAUUUGCAUUCCUCACCCAUUUGACUAAACAAGUUGAAACAGAAAUAUCAAAACCUUACUGUUCCAUAGUGCAAUGAGUUGUGGGGAGUAUUAGCUCAUAGAAUGAUUUGGGACACAUUGACACAUAAUAUAUAGGACAAAUAAUAUGCAAAUUAGAAUGCAGCACUAGUAUCAGCC